rnacentral:lncRNA from 10 species
GUGCGUGGAACAUAGCACCGCUCAGUGAAAGCUAGCUUAAUCUCAGCCUUUCCUAUUCAUAGCCAAAGAAUUACCAUGAGUAAUUCUACCUCUUUACGAAGAGUUAAGCAAUUAUUAUAAGAAGGCCACUGUAGUGCCUUUAUAGAACUGCAUUUCUGCCAUGAGUAACAGUGAAGAAUCUUUUAUGCUAUUAACCUGUGUAAAUUUUAGAUUUUUAAAAAUAGUAAGUUAUAUAGGUCACUGCACUCUACCUGUAACUAAUUGCAGCAUUAGCUAUCAAAUUCUCAUUGUUGGUUAAUUUAUCUUCAAAGACUCAAGAAUGCAAUUCAAGAUGAGUUGUUCGAGUUUCAAUUGGAGAGAUAAUGCCAUUUAAGAUGAGGAUAACUCCGUGAUGCCUCAGAUGAUUUCAUUGCAGCCUUUGCCUAGACUGCAACAUGGCCAAUAAUGCCACGCCUUGCAUAUGGGUGGCCGUUGUGGCACUUCAGACAUUCUCUAGUAACAGGACCUCGAUGCUGAGAGACAAAAUCUGCAUCCUCACCUGUCAGAUAAGGAGACAGCCCAAAGAGUGAGUGUGGUCACCAGACCAUGCUCUACACGUUAGAACAAAGGACCCCAGAAGCACAUCUGCCCCAGACUCAACCAGAUGGGCUUUGCUGUCCAGACAACAUAGGUGGAGACCUCACAUUUCGAGGGAACGUGGAACACGGAACACUUCAGAUUUUCAACGAUGCUGGAUUUGAGCUGUUCACUUGAAAAUAAAGUCUGUUGCAUCACAAGUGCUGGUUGGCAUCGCUGUCCUCCUAUCAGUGGAUUAAGAAAAGGCACAGCGAAAAACUAGUUUAAAAUCACCAGUCGGAUAUUUUACAGGUGGGUCUUUAAGGAUUGUCUGCUCAAUAUCUCACCCGAGCGCCUGCGUGCCGCUGAUUCUUCCUCUGAACUGUGUUGCAUCUUCCCAUCCCCAGGCGAGGUCCAGCACGAUCACUCACACGGCUGCUGCUAGGCUGGCUCUGCCCGUUAUUCUUCCAUCCUGGCACCAUGCUUCUAAUUUAUCCUGAAUACAUGGAGACUUGAGCACUGAUGGGAUAGAUAAAAAAAACGACAGCAAUCUUCUCUCCAAAAAAGCAACAUAAGACUAGAUAAAAUGGUCAAAAAUAAUCAUUUCAGAAUGAUUCUAGAAAAUGACCAAAGGCAGACAACAAAUUGAGAUGUGUGUUUCGUUUUUUUUGAAUCUACUGGGGCUUGGAAGGAACAGUGGGAGACUAUGGAAUUUUAGCUCAGGGCAGCGUGGUAUAGUUUCACAAUGGAAUACUACUCAGAAAUAAAAGCGAUAAACUGUUGAUACAUGCAACAAUGUGGAUGAAUCUUAAGAUAAUAAUGCUGAGUCAAAGAAGCCAGACAAAAGUAUGUAUAGUGUGAUUCGAAUUAUAUGAAAUUCUACAAAAUAUACACUAAUCUAUAAUGACAGAAAUAGAUCAGGGGUUGCCUGGGGAACUGGGGUGGAGGGUGUGCCAAGAGAGGCAGGAAAGAAGGAUUAUGAAGGGGCAGGAGGAGAGCUUUGGGGAUGGGGAUGUAUUCAUUAUCUUGAUUGUGAUGAUAAAUUCUCCGGUGUACACAUAUAGCAAAAUUUAUCAAAUUAUACACUUUAAACCAUGUGCAGUUUUUGUAUAUGGAUUGUACCAAAAUAAAGUUUUUUAAAGGGAUGCUAAUCAAUGGAUUAUACUACCUGUAGCUUGCCUACACCUCAUCUCCUUCCUCAAAACAGUUAACCUACAGGUACCUAGUAGCUAUUCCAAAACUGCUCCUCGAACUUGUGAAUGAGUAAGAGAAUGAACAAACGCACCCACUUAUCAACCUAUUCUAUGUCCU